rnacentral:rRNA from 1 species
UUGAUCCUGCCAGAGGCUACUGCUAUCGGGGUUCGAUUAAGCCAUGCGAGUUAAAUGUUCUUCGUGAACAUAGCGAACUGCUCAGUAACACGUGGAUAACCUACCCUUAGGACCGGAAUAACCCCGGGAAACUGGGGAUAAUACCGGAUAAGCCAUAGACGCUGGAAUGCCCUAUGGUUCAAAGCUCCGGCGCCUAAGGAUGGAUCUGCGGUCUAUCAGGUUGUAGUGGGUGUAACGUACCUACUAGCCGACGACGGAUACGGGUUGUGAGAGCAAGAGCCCGGAGAUGGAUUCUGAGACACGAAUCCAGGCCCUACGGGGUGCAGCAGGCGCGAACACUUUACAAUGCGGGAAACCGCGAUAAGGGAACCCCGAGUGCCAGCAUCAAAUGUUGGCUGUCCAGAUGAUUAAAAAUCAUUUGUUAGCAAGGGCCGGACAAGACCGGUGCCAGCCGCCGCGGUAACACCGGCGGCCCGAGUGGUAGCCGUUUUUAUUGGGUCUAAAGGGUCCGUAGCCGGCUUGAUAAGUCUUUUGGGAAAUCUGGCAGCUUAACUGUCAGGCUUCUAAGGGAUACUGUCAGGCUUGGGACCGGAAGAGGUAAGGGGUACUCCAGGGGUAGGAGUGAAAUCUUGUAAUCCCUGGGGGACCAUCUGUGGCGAAGGCGCCUUACCAGAACGGGUCCGACGGUGAGGGACGAAAGCUAGGGGAGCAAACCGGAUUAGAUACCCGGGUAGUCCUAGCUGUAAACGAUGCUCGCUAGGUGUCAGACACGGUGCGACCGUGUUUGGUGCCGCAGGGAAGCCGUUAAGCGAGCCACCUGGGAAGUACGGUCGCAAGGCUGAAACUUAAAGGAA